rnacentral:rRNA from 1 species
GAUCUAGCCAUGGGCAGGUUGAAGGUUGGGUAACACUAACUGGAGGACCGAACCGACUAAUGUUGAAAAAUUAGCGGAUGACUUGUGGCUGGGGGUGAAAGGCCAAUCAAACCGGGAGAUAGCUGGUUCUCCCCGAAAGCUAUUUAGGUAGCGCCUCGUGAAUUCAUCUCCGGGGGUAGAGCACUGUUUCGGCAAGGGGGUCAUCCCGACUUACCAACCCGAUGCAAACUGCGAAUACCGGAGAAUGUUAUCACGGGAGACACACGGCGGGUGCUAACGUCCGUCGUGAAGAGGGAAACAACCCAGACCGCCAGCUAAGGUCCCAAAGUCAUGGUUAAGUGGGAAACGAUGUGGGAAGGCCCAGACAGCCAGGAUGUUGGCUUAGAAGCAGCCAUCAUUUAAAGAAAGCGUAAUAGCUCACUGGUCGAGUCGGCCUGCGCGGAAGAUGUAACGGGGCUAAACCAUGCACCGAAGCUGCGGCAGCGACGCUUAUGCGUUGUUGGGUA